CUGAAUUAUGGAAAAUCCGUUAUUAAAACUACAACAACUUUUAUGAAGCUUAAAUUCGCAGGCCAGUGCAAUUGAUAUAGCCUUAAAUGUAAUUAU